CCUACGGGGGGCAGCAGUGGGGAAUAUUGGGCAAUGGAGGAAACUCUGACCCAGCAACGCCGCGUGAAUGAUGAAGGUCUUCGGAUUGUAAAGUUCUUUUCUAAGGGAAGAAGAAAGUAACGUUACCUUAGGAAUAACCCUGGGCUAACUACGUGCCAGCAGCCGCGUGAAUACGUAGGAGGCGAGCGUUAUCCGGAAUGACUGGGCGUAAAGGGUGAGUAGGUGGGUUGGCAAGUUAGUAGCGAAACUCGAAGGCUCAACCGUGGAACUACUACUAAAACUGUUGGACUUGAGUGCAGGAGGGGCAAGCGGAAUUCCUAGUGUAGCGGUGGAAUGCGUAGAUAUUAGGAGGAACACCAGUGGCGAAGGCGGGUUGCUAGACUGUAACUGACACUGAGGCACGAAAGCGUGGGGAGCAAACAGGAUUAGAUACCCGAGUAGUC
rnacentral:rRNA from 1 species